GAUGAACGCUGGCGGCGUGCCUAAUACAUGCAAGUCGAGCGAACAGACGAGGAGCUUGCUCCUCUGACGUUAGCGGCGGACGGGUGAGUAACACGUGGAUAACCUACCUAUAAGACUGGGAUAACUUCGGGAAACCGGAGCUAAUACCGGAUAAUAUAUUGAACCGCAUGGUUCAAUAGUGAAAGACGGUUUUGCUGUCACUUAUAGAUGGAUCCGCGCCGCAUUAGCUAGUUGGUAAGGUAACGGCUUACCAAGGCAACGAUGCGUAGCCGACCUGAGAGGGUGGUCGGCCACACUGGGACUAAGACACGGUCCAGACUCCGACGGGAGGCAGCAGUAGGGAGUCGUCCGCAAUGGGCGAAAGCCUGACAGAGCAACGCGGCGUGAGUGAUGAAGGUCUGCGGAUCGUAAAACUCUGUGAUUAGUGAAGAACAAAUAUGUAAGUAACUGUGCACGUCUUGACGGUACCGAAUCAGAAAGCCACGGCUAACUACGUG
rnacentral:rRNA from 1 species